rnacentral:rRNA from 1 species
AGAACGAACGCUGGCGGCAGGCCUAAUACAUGCAAGUCGAACGCACUCUUCGGAGUGAGUGGCAGACGGGUGAGUAACGCGUGGGAACCUUCCCAAUGGUACGGAAUAACUCCGGGAAACCGGUGCUAAUACCGUAUAAGCCCCUCGGGGGAAAGAUUUAUCGCCAUUGGAUGGGCCCGCGUCGGAUUAGCUAGUUGGUAAGGUAAUGGCUUACCAAGGCUACGACCCGUAGCUGGUCUGAGAGGAUGAUCAGCCACACUGGGACUGAGACACGGCCCAGACUCCUACGGGAGGCAGCAGUAGGGAAUCUUGGACAAUGGGCGAAAGCCUGAUCCAGCCAUGCCGCGUGAGUGAAGAAGGCCUUAGGGUUGUAAAGCUCUUUUGGCGGGGACGAUAAUGACGGUACCCGCAGAAUAAGCCCGGCUAACUUCGUGCCAGCAGCCGC